GCACCUAUGGCUCAAUGGCAGAGCGCCAGACUUCUACUUGAGCCUUGCUUACGUAAUCUCCAUCUGGAGGCUGCGGGUUCGAGUCCCGCUAGGUGUA